UACAGAGGGUGCAAGCGUUAAUCGGAUUUACUGGGCGUAAAGGGCGCGUAGGUGGUUGCGUAAGUGAGAUGUGAAAUCCCCGGGCUUAACCUGGGAACUGCAUCUUAUACUGCGUAGCUGGAGUGCAGUAGAGGGUAGUGGAAUUUCCGGUGUAGCGGUGAAAUGCGUAGAUAUCGGAAGGAACACCAGUGGCGAAGGCGGCUACCUGGACUGACACUGACACUGAGGCGCGAGAGCGUGGGGAGCAAACAGG
rnacentral:rRNA from 1 species